rnacentral:rRNA from 1 species
UACGUAGGGUGCAAGCGUUGUCCGGAAUUAUUGGGCGUAAAGAGCUCGUAGGCGGUCUGUCACGUCGGAUGUGAAAACUCGGGGCUCAACCCCGAGCCUGCAUACGAUACGGGCAGACUUGAGUUCGGCAGGGGAGACUGGAAUUCCUGGUGUAGCGGUGAAAUGCGCAGAUAUCAGGAGGAACACCGGUGGCGAAGGCGGGUAGCUGGGCCAACACUGACGCUGAUGCGCGAAAGCUAGGGUAGCAAACGGG